CAGCUUCCUAACACUGCUCCCGGAGACAUCCGUGCUUGAAAGAGCCUCAGGGAACACUUAAUGCAAUGACUCCAGGUCACAAAUGGGGAAACUGAGGCUCAGGGAGGGAACUGGACCUGCUCCAGUCGCAAAGCUGGUGGUGAAGCUGGACAGAGCCCAGCCCAUUGGCCAUCCUUUGUUGAUGGUUUCCCCUGGGCCGGGCUCUCCUGCGCCUCUUCCCUCUGACCUUUCUGCCUCCUCCAGGGUCCACGCUAGGGCAAAGUCAUCUCCACAGGAGGAAGCCGGCAGCUCUGAGAGGUGGGGACCCGGUGCUGCGACCCUCUCUCUCCUUGCUCGUCACUCUAUCUCGAGACAGGAGUCUAACAGGCAGGGGUCUGCAAUAAUGACCACAGGUGUUUACAGAAUGGUGCUGGUGGCGCUGGAGGGAGAAAACACAGGCUGGGAUCACAGGUGCAGAGGUGCAGGGUCAAAGGGCGACUGAACCAAAUGAACGAAUGAGAUUCACAGGAAAGCAAGGAAACACAUGCUCUGAUACUUCCAAAAUAAGUCCUACAAAGGAGCCCGAUGGCAAAAGCUGCGCUGGGCAGCAGUUCAGAGGGACAACUCUGGGGAGCAGGUCGUAAGGAAAGACAGACCUAACAUACAGGUCGAUAAGAACCAAUCCCGAGACACUUGCUAGAAAAUCAGUUGCAAAGAUCUGAUUAUCGGUGCACUUGGAAAGCAAAUGAUGCCUACACCCAACGUUUGGGAAGAAUCGAAGUUUCGCUAUGGAGAGAUCGCACCGAGGUGGAAUUCUCUUCAAGUAGUUUGAGAAGUUAGACAAGGGUUGCCAUGCACAGAACCUAGCAACCUCACUGCCCAAGGAACAGCGGAAGUCUUUUAGCUGUGGGGAUUGGAAAUAACAUCUCACAGAGCUGAUGCUGGUCUUUUCUCAGAAGCUCUUCUGUCCUCAGUAUCCGCGGUCCAGUUCUUGGGUCUCAGGCUGCUCAGAGACUGGCUGACACAGCACGGGGCAGUGUGUGCGCUCAUGGGGCACAGUGGGUUCCCAGCUACUAGAGGAGCAUGAAAGGACGGAUGGCCACGCACUGGCCUAUGGCAGGGGGGAUUCCUGCCCUGGAAAUGACCCUUCUCAUCAGAGGCUUUCUCCAAAGGGGUCCAAUGGGGAACUGAAAAAUGCUAGGAGAUCCUAGUCCAGCCACCUCCAGCUCAAGGAUUGUCCAGAGAUGGUUACAACUGUAGUUUCCUAGCGUCUAUCUCACCUGUUUAUGAAGAUGUUCUUGAAACAAGUUGUUAAAUACUAAAAAUAUUAGAGCCGUAAGGCCUUGUUGGGGUCAAGAGACCAGAAGGGAAAGGAGCGGCGAGGUUCUGGCUCCUACUGAUUGCAGGAGGCGCUGCAGGGAGGGUCGAAAUAACCAUGGUGUCAGCACACCUGUCUUGUCGCUGCUGUAACACACGUGGGUGAGCACACACGAAUUUAGCGUCUUAACACACAUUUAUUCUCUUAGAGCGC
rnacentral:lncRNA from 1 species